rnacentral:tRNA from 1 species
AAGUGACGGAAUUGGUAGACGUGCUUGGUUUAGGUCCAAGUGUCGCGAGGCGUGGGGGUUCGAGUCCCUCCUUGGGC